GUGCUUGCUUCAGCAGCACAUAUCCUAAAAAUGGAAUGAUACAGAGAAGAUUAGCAUGGUCUUUAUGCUAGGAUGACAUUCAAAUACGUGAAGUGUUCCAUAUUUAA